rnacentral:rRNA from 1 species
GGGCCCGCACAAGCGGUGGAGCAUGUGGAUUAAUUCGAAGCAACGCGCAGAACCUUACCAGGCCUUGACUUGUAUUUGUAUGUAGCCCAAAAGCUACGGACCUUCGGGAACAUUUACACAGGUGCUGCAUGGCUGUCGUCAGCUCGUGUCGUGAGAUGUUGGUUAAGUCCCGCAACGAGCGCAACCCCUACCCUUAGUUACCAGCGUUAAGUCGGGGACUCUAGGGGAACUGCCGGUUUUAAGCCGGAGGAAGGUGGGGAUGACGUCAAGUCCUCAUGGCCCUUACGGCCUGGGCUUCACACGUGCUACAAUGGUUAGUACAGAGGGUAGCGAACUCGCGAGGGG